rnacentral:rRNA from 1 species
CAGUAGCCGCGGUAAAACGUAGGUGGCAAGCGUUGUCCGGAAUUAUUGGGCGUAAAGCGCGCGCAGGCGGCUUCCCAAGUCCCUCUUAAAAGUGCGGGGCUUAACCCCGUGAUGGGAAGGAAACUGGGAAGCUGGAGUAUCGGAGAGGAAAGUGGAAUUCCUAGUGUAGCGGUGAAAUGCGUAGAGAUUAGGAAGAACACCGGUGGCGAAGGCGACUUUCUGGACGAAAACUGACGCUGAGGCGCGAAAGCGUGGGGAGCAAACAGGAUUAGAUACCCGGGUAGUCCCUGUCUCUUAUACC